rnacentral:rRNA from 1 species
AACGAACGCUGGCGGCAUGCCUAACACAUGCAAGUCGAACGGAGGCUUCGGCCUUAGUGGCGCACGGGUGCGUAACGCGUGGGAAUCUGCCCCUCGGUUCGGAAUAACAGUUAGAAAUGACUGCUAAUACCGGAUGAUGACUUCGGUCCAAAGAUUUAUCGCCGAGGGAUGAGCCCGCGUAAGAUUAGGUAGUUGGUGGGGUAAAGGCCUACCAAGCCGACGAUCUUUAGCUGGUCUGAGAGGAUGAUCAGCCACACUGGGACUGAGACACGGCCCAGACUCCUCCGGGAGGCAGCAGUGGGGAUAUUGGACAAUGGGCGAAAGCCUGAACCAGCAAUGCCGCGUGAGUGAUGAAGGCCUUAGGGUUGUAAAGCUCUUCUACCAGGGAUGAUAAUGACAGUACCUGGAGAAUAAGCUCCGGCUAACUCCGUGCCAGCAGCCGCAGUAA